rnacentral:miRNA from 1 species
CAGGUGUGUUUGAGUACAUGUGCAUAUGCAUGUGUACAAACACACACACACACACACACACACACACACACACACACACACACAU